rnacentral:lncRNA from 1 species
CAUUAUAUUUAUCAAAGUUGUACAUAUAUCGAUGCUAGUUUGUUUUGUUUGGUAAGGAACAUGUGUUUAUGCUAUUUAUAGAAAGGUCUGUUUGGUUGGGUAUAUAAAGUAUGUGGGAAGAAUUUCUUGCACGAGUGGUUUGAUAGUAGUUAAAGUCAUUCGAGUCAUUGCAGUCAAGUGUUCUAGAUGCUUUUUUCCAAUAAAAUAAUUAUGAGAAUUAUUUAUUUACAGGUUGAUAGUCCAAGAAGAGUCGCAAAUAUUGAUGUUGCAGUGCUAGUUAGAGACAAGACAAUUUUCAUAAUUCUCAUUGAUAUAAAAUGAAUUACGUGUACUUAUUACCUGAAUAAAAAUGCACUUGACUUUUGCAAGUGGCUACUCCCAUGUGAGAGUUUUGUAUUAUAUUGAUAAAUGUUUUAUGUUCGUUUGAGGUUACGAAUUAGAACAUAA